rnacentral:miRNA from 1 species
UGGAACUUAUACGAACAGGC